GGGCUAUUAGCUCAGGUGGUUAGAGCGCACCCCUGAUAAGGGUGAGGUUCCUGGUUCGAGUCCAGGAUGGCCCA
rnacentral:tRNA from 2 species